rnacentral:rRNA from 1 species
GAUGAACGCUGGCGGCGUGCUUAACACAUGCAAGUCGAACGAAGCAUUUGCGACAGAUUUUUUCGGAAUGAAGUUGCUUAUGACUGAGUGGCGGACGGGUGAGUAACGCGUGGGUAACCUGCCUUGUACUGGGGGAUAGCAGCUGGAAACGGCUGGUAAUACCGCAUAAGCGCACAAUGUUGCAUGACAUGGUGUGAAAAACUCCGGUGGUAUAAGAUGGACCCGCGUCUGAUUAGCUAGUUGGUGAGAUAACAGCCCACCAAGGCGACGAUCAGUAGCCGACCUGAGAGGGUGACCGGCCACAUUGGGACUGAGACACGGCCCAGACUCCUACGGGAGGCAGCAGUGGGGAAUAUUGCACAAUGGAGGAAACUCUGAUGCAGCGACGCCGCGUGAGUAAAGAAGUAAUUCGUUAUGUAAAGCUCUAUCAGCAGGGAAGAUAGUGACGGUACCUGACGAAGAAGCUCCGGCUAAAUACGUG